UCGCGCCGCCGCCAGCAGCAUCGCCCUCGGGAUCCCACCCGAACCAACCCACGCGCAGCCAGCCAUCUUCCCAGAUCCUCAUCAUUUUCACCGUCCACCCAAUCCACCCAGCCUCUGAUCCAUCCGUCUGUGACCGCAGGAUGGAGAUCCAACGGCCACCAGAGCGCCCGAGCCUCCCACAGCGCUCAAUUUAGAUCGGAUCGAGGCCUCCAUGAGCGCAGCCCCGAGCUUCCGAUCGAGUCCCCUCCGCCGCCUCGUCCACGUCGGAGCACUGCCAGAUCGCCGGACCACCACCUCUGCUGCGUCCCUGCAACAGGAGACCACCAUGGCAGCCCGAGGCAGGGAGCUUCGCCGCGGCAGCGACCUCCAUGGACCCCGACCGCCGACUCAGAGCUCCUCGCCGCCAAGCUUUGACCCGCUCGGAGCCGUUCCCCAGGUCAUCGGACCUCCCUGCAAGCUCCGUCGCUGCCAUCAAACCUGCUUCCCCUGCACGAGCGGUCCCUGUUCGUCGCCAGCUUCACCCUGCCUCUGCUUCAUGUGCGCGGUUGCCGCCUUGGAGACCCGAGCCCCUACGUCGAUCUGGCGCUCGCCUUCAAGCCUGCCGUCGCCAAGUCCCACGUCGCCGGCAGCCGUUUCCGUCGUCCGCCGCUCUGUACCUCGCGCCCCCGCUGCUGUUUCUGCUUUUCAGAGACGAGGGCAGUAGCGCUCGCCUGCUCGUCCGCGUUGACCGCCACACCGCGCGUGGGCUGCUUUCCCUCGAGCGCCAGCAGGCCCAAUCCCCUCCACCGAGCAGGGCCACGACCCAUGGUCACGUUUGUGAGGACCCGUUCGUCUACGUCCGUUUGUCUUCUUCAUGGAC